AUUGAACGCUGGCGGCAGGCUUAACACAUGCAAGUCGAGCGAGCGGCGGACGGGUGAGUAAUGUCUGGGAAACUGCCUGAUGGAGGGGGAUAACUACUGGAAACGGUAGCUAAUACCGCAUACCAUCAGAUGUGCCCAGAUGGGAUUAGCUAGUAGGUGGGGUAAUGGCUCACCUAGGCGACGAUCCCUAGCUGGUCUGAGAGGAUGACCAGCCACACUGUAAGUGAGACACGUUCCAGACUCCGACGUGAGGCAGCAGUGGGGAAGAUUGCACAAUGGGCGCAAGCCUGAUGCAGCCAUGCCGCGUGUAUGAAGAAGGCCUUCGGGUUGUAAAGUUCGUUCGGUAGCGAGGCGUUAACUACAGAAGAAGCACCGGCUAACUCCGUGCCAGCAGCCGCGGUAAAC
rnacentral:rRNA from 1 species